CAAAUUUAAAAUCUACCUGGUUUCCAGGUCGAGUUGUAAUUUGAAGAUACGUUUUUGACGUUCCGGGUUGAACUAAAUCCUUUGGGAUAAGGUAUCAUGGAGGGUGAGAAUCCCGUAUAUACCAACCRUAGGGAUGUUAUUUAAUACGUUUCUAAGAGUCGAGUUGUUUGGGAAUGCAGCUCUAAAUGGGUGGUAAAUUUCACCUAAUGCUAAAUAUAAGCGAGAGACCGAUAGCGAACAAGUACAGUGAUGGAAAGAUGAAAAGAACUUUGAAAAGAGAGUUAAAUAGUAYGUGAAAUUGUUGAAAGGGAAACGAUUGAAGUCAGUCAUGCCAGUGGGAAUCAACUUAGAGGAAACUCUGAGUGCACUUCUUCGCUUGGCAGGUCAACGUYGAUUUUGGAUGUCAUAAAAUGAUUGGGGGAAGGUAGCUCYUUCGGGAGUGUUAUAGCCCUUGGUAGAUGUGAUGUCUGGGAUCGAGGAUUGCAAUGGAUACCCUUUGGGGCUAGCCGCCUGAUCUCUAAUCGGUAUUGGGUUACGGAUAGCAUGCUGACCGUGAUCUAAUUAUUGGUUAAAAGGUUAG
rnacentral:rRNA from 1 species